GAGAAGUUCUCCACCAUCCGUCGCUAGGCUUUACACUAGAGGUGCUGCACAAACAUUGAAGCUAGAACAUCACUAGCAAACACAAAGGACAAACAUCACCCAUCCCAGCACAACAACCCUUUCAAGUGUCAACCUUUAGAAACUCCAUUACAAGCAGCUCAGACUUUGACGUGGCAAGAGGUUGUUGCUGUAGAGCUGGCCGGCUCUAUGGCCAUCAGGACGACUUUCCCAGCCACAGUGUAGAAGCAGAUCCCUGAGGCGCACACAGCCAAUGCAAGAAAAGCUUUUAAACAAAAGAGAGCAACCUUUAAACCCAAGUCAACACCAAAACGGCUUCCUUCAGUCUUCAAAAAGGUCCAA
rnacentral:misc_RNA from 1 species